CGAAGCCGAGUGAUCUAUUUAUGAGCAGGUUGAAGCUUGAGUAAAAUCAAGUGGAGGACCGAACACUAGUCUGUUGAAAAAGGCAGUGAUGACUUGUGAAUAGGGGUGAAAGGCCAAUCAAACUCGGAGAUAGCUGGUUCUCGUCGAAAUGGUUUUAGGAUCAGCGUGAUAUGAUUUUGUCGGAGGUAAAGCACUGAUUAGGCUAGGGCCCUUCACCGGGUACCAAACUUAUUCAAACUCUGAAUACCGAUAAACAAAAUAUUGCAGUGAGACUGUGGGUGAUAAGAUCCAUGGUCAAGAGGGAAAGAGCCCAGACCGUCAGCUAAGGUCCCUAAACUAUGCUAAGUGGAGAAGGAAGUUCGAUUGCAAAGACAGCCAGGAGGUUGGCUUAGAAGCAGCCACUCCUUGAAAGAGUGCGUAAUAGCUCACUGGUCGAGUAGUCGAGCGCCUAAAAUGUAACGGGGCUAAGCAUAGUACCGAAGCUACGGAUUCGUAUUAAUACGGAUGGUAGACGAGAGUUGUGUAGGCUGUUGAAGGUGAUCUGGAAGGAUUGCUGGAGGUAUCACAAGUUAGAAUGCAGGCAUGAGUAACGAAAAGGAAGGUGAGAUCCCUUCCCGCCGAAAGCCUAAGGGUUCCUGGGUAAAGGUUUUCUUCCCAGGGUGAGUCGGCCCCUAAGACGAGGCUGAAGAGCGUAGUCGAUGGGAAACUGGUUAAUAUUCCAGUACUUCUGUUAAUUUCGAUGGGAUGACGCAUAAGGAGAUUCUAUGCCGGAGAAUGGUAGUUCCGGUCCAAGCAACAAGCUUUUGAGAGAUGUAGGCAAAUCCGCAUUUUGAGGUGAGUUGUUAAGGGUACUAAACCUACGGGUGCAGGAAGAUAGAGGAUUCAUCGUGCCAGGAAAUAAUCUCUAAGGUUCGAUUAACAGGAACCGUACCGCAAACCGACACAGGUAGGCGAGCUGAGUAUGCUAAGGCGUACGGGAUAACUCGGGUUAAGGAACUCGGCAAAUUACAUACGUAACUUAGGGAGAAGUAUGGCCUACUCCGCGAGGAGAGGUUGCAAAAAAGAGGUCCAAUCGACUGUUUACCAAAAACACAGGUCUCUGCGAAAUCGUAAGAUGAAGUAUAGGGACUGACACCUGCCCGGUGCCGGAAGGUUAAGAGGAGUUGUUAGAUUUAUCGAAGCAGCGAAUUGAAGCCCCGGUAAACGGCGGCCGUAACUAUAACGGUCCUAAGGUAGCGAAAUUCCUUGUCGGGUAAGUUCCGACCCGCACGAAUGGUGUAACGAAUUGGACGCUGUCUCAACCCGAGACCCGGUGAAAUUAAAGUAUCGGUGAAGAUGCCGAUUACAUGUGGUUAGACGGAAAGACCCCGUGAACCUUUACUGCAGCCUGAUAUUGAAAUCUGGUUAAACAUGUGUAGGAUAGGUGGGAGACUAUGACCCCUGAUCGUUAGGUUGGGGUGAGUCGUUGGUGAAAUACCACCCUUGUUUAAUUAGUUUUCUAACAGAAGCCGUUAUCCGGUUUUUGGACAAUGUCU
rnacentral:rRNA from 1 species